UGGAUGAAAUGGAGGAGUGCGACGAGUGUUCUAUACAACCAUAGGAUACUUGACAAAGUGAAAGCAAGUUUUUUAGAAUUGUGGUUAGGCCAGCUAUAUUGCAUGAGAGUGAAUGUUGUGCACCUAAUGUACAACACCCCCACAAAAUGAGUGUGGUGGAAAUGCAAAUGUGCAGAUGGAUGUCUGGUAACACGAUAAUGGAUAAAAUUAGGGAUAACCAUUUGCUCUCUCUCUCUCUCUCU
rnacentral:misc_RNA from 1 species